GAUGAAGAACGCAGCGAAAUGCGAUAAGUAAUGUGAAUUGCAGAAUUCAGUGAAUCAUCGAAUCUUUGAACGCACAUUGCGCCCGCCAGUAUUCUGGCGGGCAUGCCUGUUCGAGCGUCAUUACAACCCUCAGGCCCCCGGGCCUGGCGUUGGGGAUCGGCGGAGCCCCCCGUGGGCACACGCCGUCCCCCAAAUACAGUGGCGGUCCCGCCGCAGCUUCCAUCGCGUAGUAGCUAACACCUCGCGACUGGAGAGCGGCGCGGCCACGCCGUAAAACACCCAACUCUUCUGAAGUUGACCUCGAAUAAGGUAGGAAUACCCGCUGAACUUAAGCAUAUCAAUAAGCGGAGGA
rnacentral:misc_RNA from 1 species